GUGAAUCAUCAAAUUUUUGAACGCAAAUUGCACUCUCUUCGGAGAGUAUGCCUGUUUGUGUGUCAGUAUUAAUAAAAAUCGGUGUGUUGCUUCUUUGUUACGCUCCGGGGUUUGGGUCAUCUUUAUAUCCUUUAGGUUUUAAGAGGCUUAAACUUGACUUUUUUGCGCAUGUUAGAUGUACAUAUAUUCUUUUUUUUAUUCGUCUGUCUUAAUGCUCACACUCCUAUUAGAUGCGACCAUAUCGUGAGGUUUCGGG
rnacentral:misc_RNA from 1 species